UGCAAACAAAAGUGCAUUUUUGCUUAUUAUGUGUUUUGAAUAGCAAAAAAAUAGACAGAUACAUCCAUUAAACACAGUCAUAAGCGUAUUGUUAAAAUAAAAGGUAAUAGGUCGAGCCAUUCAUCUGUGUAUCAUUGCAUGUUUAUGUCAGUAACAUGAAUCAAAGACUCAGUCAUAAACGAAAUUAAGAUCAUGAGAAAAUAUACCCCAAAUGUCAUAGCAACCCCGAUAGAGGAACCAAUUUCCAAUUGAUGAUGAGCCGGCAUGGAUUCAGAUAUGGCCUCGAUAUGUGGCGGAGCCCCGCCGUCUUGCCGUCACCGAAUCCAUACAACCCGUUUUAAAACCACCGCGUCACCACCAUCGCAAGCCAUAGCCGGAGUGAAAGGAGAAGAGAUGAGAAGGGGAUUCUCUUCGGUUCCUAAUCUGCCGCUAGCAAGAGGGGUUUUUAUGGCUUGGUCUAGCCACCGCCUCCAGAUCCAACAGUCCGCGCCUCUGUUGCCGGCGAGAACCUUUGCCACCUUGGCCAUCGAUCAAGAGAGAGAAAGGAGGUCCCCGCUGA
rnacentral:lncRNA from 1 species